rnacentral:rRNA from 1 species
GUGGGGAAUCUUGCGCAAUGGGCGAAAGCCUGACGCAGCCAUGCCGCGUGAAUGAUGAAGGUCUUAGGAUUGUAAAAUUCUUUCACCGGGGACGAUAAUGACGGUACCCGGAGAAGAAGCUCCGGCUAACUUCGUGCCAGCAGCCGCGGUAAUACGAAGGGGGCUAGCGUUGCUCGGAAUUACUGGGCGUAAAGGGCGCGUAGGCGGACAGCUUAGUCAGAGGUGAAAGCCCAGGGCUCAACCUUGGAAUUGCCUUUGAUACUGGCUGUCUUGAGUUCGGGAGAGGUGAGUGGAACUGCGAGUGUAGAGGUGAAAUUCGUAGAUAUUCGCAAGAACACCAGUGGCGAAGGCGGCUCACUGGCCCGAUACUGACGCUGAGGUGCGAAAGCGUGGGGAGCAAACAGGAUUAGAAACCCGUGUAGUCC